CCUAUCAGCUUGUUGGUGAGGUAAUGGCUCACCAAGGCGACGACGGGUAGCCGGCCUGAGAGGGCGACCGGCCACACUGGGACUGAGACACGGCCCAGACUCCUACGGGAGGCAGCAGUGGGGAAUAUUGCACAAUGGGCGAAAGCCUGAUGCGGCGACGCCGCGUGAGGGAUGACGGCCUUCGGGUUGUAAACCUCUUUCAGCAGGGAAGAAGCGAAAGUGACGGUACCUGCAGAAGAAGCGCCGGCUAACUACGUGCCAGCAGCCGCGGUAAUACGUAGGGCGCAAGCGUUGUCCGGAAUUAUUGGGCGUAAAGAGCUCGUAGGCGGCUUGUCACGUCGGGUGUGAAAGCCCGGGGCUUAACCCCGGGUCUGCAUUCGAUACGGGCUAGCUAGAGUGUGGUAGGGGAGAUCGGAAUUCCUGGUGUAGCGGUGAAAUGCGCAGAUAUCAGGAGGAACACCGGUGGCGAAGGCGGAUCUCUGGGCCAUUACUGACGCUGAGGAGCGAAAGCGUGGGGAGCGAACAGGAUUAGAUACCCUGGUAGUCCACGCCGUAAACGGUGGGAACUAGGUGUUGGCGACAUUCCACGUCGUCGGUGCCGCAGCUAACGCAUUAAGUUCCCCGCCUGGGGAGUACGG
rnacentral:rRNA from 1 species